rnacentral:rRNA from 1 species
AACGAACGCUGGCGGCAGGCUUAACACAUGCAAGUCGAACGCAUCCUUCGGGGUGAGUGGCAGACGGGUGAGUAACGCGUGGGAACGUGCCCUUCAGUUCGGGAUAACCCAGGGAAACUUGGGCUAAUACCGGAUACGUGCGAGAGCAGAAAGAUUUAUCGCUGAAGGAUCGGCCCGCGUCUGAUUAGCUAGUUGGUGGGGUAAUGGCCCACCAAGGCGACGAUCAGUAGCUGGUCUGAGAGGAUGAUCAGCCACAUUGGGACUGAGACACGGCCAAAACUCCUACGGGAGGCAGCAGUGGGGAAUAUUGGACAAUGGGCGCAAGCCUGAUCCAGCCAUGCCGCGUGAAUGAUGAAGGCCUUAGGGUUGUAAAGCUCUUUCGUCCGGGACGAUAAUGACGGUACCGGAAGAAGAAGCCCCGGCUAACUUCGUGUCAGCCGCCGCUGUAA